rnacentral:rRNA from 1 species
GAUGAACGCUGGCGGCGUGCUUAACACAUGCAAGUCGAACGGUGAACACGGAGCUUGCUCUGUGGGAUCAGUGGCGAACGGGUGAGUAACACGUGAGCAACCUGCCCCUGACUCUGGGAUAAGCGCUGGAAACGGCGUCUAAUACUGGAUAUGUGACGUGACCGCAUGGUCUGCGUUUGGAAAGAUUUUUCGGUUGGGGAUGGGCUCGCGGCCUAUCAGCUUGUUGGUGAGGUAAUGGCUCAUCAAGGCGUCGACGGGUAGCCGGCCUGAGAGGGUGACCGGCCACACUGGGACUGAGACACGGCCCAGACUCCUACGGGAGGCAGCAGUGGGGAAUAUUGCACAAUGGGCGCAAGCCUGAUGCAGCAACGCCGCGUGAGGGAUGACGGCCUUCGGGUUGUAAACCUCUUUUAGCAGGGAAGAAGCGAAAGUGACGGUACCUGCAGAAAAAGCGCCGGCUAACUACGUG